UCCCUCUUAGCUCAGUUGGUAGAGCGCGUCACUAGUAUGCUGCAUUCCCGAAUUAGGUCAAUGACGAGGUCAGUCGUUCAAGUCGGCUAGAGGGAA